UACAGAGGUCUCAAGCGUUGUUCGGAUUCAUUGGGCGUAAAGGGUGCGUAGGUGGCGUCGUAAGUCGGGUGUGAAAUCUCAGGGCUCAACCCUGAAACUGCAUUCGAUACUGCCUGGCUAGGGUACUGGAGAGGAGACUGGAAUUUACGGUGUAGCAGUGAAAUGCGUAGAUAUCGUAAGGAAGACCAGUGGCGAAGGCGGGUCUCUGGACAGUUCCUGACGCUGAGGCACGAAGGUCAGGGGAGCAAACGGG
rnacentral:rRNA from 1 species